CCGCAGGCUUCACGGAGCCUCAGGUUGAGGGACCCAAGGGAGACCGUGGACCCAAGGGAGACAGGGGCCCCGCUGGUCCCCCCGGUAACGAUGGUAUCCCCGGUCAGCCUGGACUGCCUGGACCUCCCGGCCCCCCUGGACCCCCCGGCCUCGGUGGAGUAAG